ACAGGUGCCGGCAAUCACACAGUAAGAGAAGUGCAGGAGCAGAGCCUUGUGUCCCUCCUGGAGAGAGUCAUGUUGGGAGGUCCAGCAGUUCCGGGCACCCGGCCACAAGGGAUCUGAUUGCACACGUUAGUACUAAAGUUUUCAUCAGGACACACCCCUGAGUGGCAAUAAAUCCCCUUAUAGGUGGACCUAAAUACACCCUUUGGACGGAGCAUGACCCCCCCACAACGGAAAGCGCUGCGUGUUCUGCUGCCACCUGGAAUCUCCCUGAAACUAGUUUUCAAA